AUUGAACGCUGGCGGCAGGCCUAACACAUGCAAGUCGAGCGGAUGAAGGGAGCUUGCUCCUGGAUUCAGCGGCGGACUGGUGAGUAAUGCUUAGGAAUCUGCCUGGUAGUGGGGGCUAACGUCCGGAGCCGGGCGCUCCUACCGCAUACGUCCUGAGCGCGAAAGUGUGGGAUCUCCGGACCUCACGCUAUCAGUUAAGCCUAGGUCGGAUGAGCUAGUUAUUGGGGUAAAGGCCUACCAAGGCGACAAUCCGUAACUGGUCUGAAAGGGUGAUCAGGCACACUGGAACUGAGACACGGUCGAGACUCCUACGGGAGGCAGCAGUGGGGAAUAUUGGACAAUGGGGGAGAGCCUGAUCCAGCCAUGCGGGGGGUGGGAAGAAGGUCUUCGGAUGGUAAAGCACUUUAAGUUGGGAGGAAGGGCAGUAAGUUAAUACCGUGCUGUUUUGACGGUACCAACAGAAUAAGCACCGGCUAACUUCGUG
rnacentral:rRNA from 1 species